GACGAUGGAAACGACGGUGAUUACCACGGACGCACGGCGGCGGCGGCGGCGCGUAGCUCGGAUUUCUCCGGUUUCGAAAAGACCCCGAUCGAUCGAGGUCUUUGGAAAGGUUCGAUCAGGUUGCGAUUGAGUUUGUGAUCGAGGAGACGGGUUGCUGUUCUUUUCAAAAGGGAGGAGUGAGGGAAGAGAAUGCGGAAGAAAGAGAUGGUGGGGCAGCGAAGAUCGACGAGAGAUUGCCGAAUUGCGCACGCUUUUGCAAUGGGGAUGGCCCUGGGCGAAUUCUGGGCUUUUCUUCGACUGGACGGCUUUUUGAGGCCCGGAAUUUCAUCGGCCUGAGGUUUCUAACGCCUGCCAGUGGGUUUGUCUUUAAGGAAGGUGGGAAAUUCAGACUCAUGUUUCAGAAGCAUGUUCGCGCCUAAUUUGUUUUUUACGUGAAAACUGAUCAACCUGUUAACCUAAAACACUUCUCUGCUCACUUAUUGCACUGUCUUCGUGGAUUCCAACUCUGCCUGCGGUGAGCUACUUUAUCGAUCACCGUUCGUUUAGUUUUUGGGAAGUGGUGUGCUCACAGAGGAUUUCUUUUGUACCUCAGAGUUUUAUUCCUUUGAUUUCAACUUUGUCCUGCUUUGGUCACUACUUGUUCUUCACUGAUGAGCUACGAAUGUGUUCUCACGGCCAGUUUGACUUGGGGACUGACAACAUGGGAUUGAUCACUUGCCACUUUACCAUCUGUUGAACAUUUCGCUGCUGAUUUUAAGUGGUUCUUGUUCGAAUACUGUUUAGUCAAGGAAGAAAAUAACCCCUAAAUGUUUUGGUUAUGCUUCUUUGAAGGUUUCUAAUCGCCGUGAUAUUCUGUAUUGGUUCGCUGGUUGGCGUUUUACAUAUUAUUUUUCGUUUUGACCUGACUUUAGGUUCACAUUGCAACUUUACAUCGCUGCAAAGUUUUGUUUCAUGGCUCCUUAGAGGAGACCCAUCAGAUGUAAACAGGGAGCAUGCGUCAGUGGAUAUUGAGCUCAGGGUAAGGCCAGCAUGUUGGUAUCGUGUCUUUCUAGGAUAUCUGAUUUCAUCUGAACCGAUGAAUUGACUUUAUGAUCAUGAAUCGGGACGGAGACGUUUUACCUUUGAAAGCUAAAGUGGUAAUGCUUGGAAGAGAGCCAGGAUGGCUUCAGAAGGAAACCAUGAAAUUGAUUCCAUUUAAGUUAAAGAACGACGUGCAAUAGUAAGAGAAAAUCUCAGAGAAAAGCAGGGCGAGUCAUUAUUACCCUUGGCCAAGUUAAGGUCUGCAGGCACUGUGAAAAGUACACGGACAAAUCAGGUGGUGAAACCGGAUGAAUCUGUCAACCCCGAGCUUGCUGCACUCUUGAAGAAGGUUGCCGUCACUAGAGAGUUGGUCAGCAUCUUGAAUAACAAUGUCUGAGAAAUGCCACAGGAAGUGGUCUAUGUAGAGUCACAUGGCUCUGGUUUUUACAGAUCUGUAUCAUUAUUCUGCGCAGUUGUUAGAAGCUAGCUUAUAGUCUGCCUUGAUUUUGUAUAUUGCAAGAAGAUGUUGGUGGAGCAGUCAUGAAUCCGUCAUAAGGCUAUUGUAUCCACAAGAACUCACAAUGUUAGGUGAUUAUUAUAUCAUGCUUUCUCUUCGUCUAAUUUCCCUCAUUCAUAGUUUGCGAGCAUCUUAAGGGUGAGCAUGACAAAUUACUUGGUUGUUGCAUUAGACGAGAUUGCCUCAUUUUGUAAUGAGCACAACGUGUCUGUCUACAAACGAGACGCUACGAUUUCAAUAUACGAAAUUCAAGGCGCGUUAAUCCCUGUAUUUCCAGCAGUUUGUGCAAUUCAGGUUUGUACGUUUCUUACAACUGCCUUAACUUUUUAUUUUUAUUUUUAUAAGGCUUACCCAAGCGUCCACUGUUUUCAGGUUUGGAGUUUGACCUUCUGUGGAAGUUUCUUGUACUUGGCUGCGAUGUGCUCCUUAACGACGUCGACAUUGUUUACCUCCAAAACUCUUGCACAACUCCAGCACAAGAGUAUGACUUGAGAGUGUCAGAUGGAUUUGACGAUCCAACAGCCUACGGGUAUGAUGAUGUUUCGGAAGAUCCUUCCAUGGCCUGAUCGAAAUUUGCGGAUACCAUACGGAUCUGGGUGUUCAAUAUAGGGCUCUUCUAUAUUCGAUCCUCAGUCCCCUCUGUUCAGAUGCUGGACCGAAUAACUACAAGGCCAAGCAAAGAAAAGGCUAGGGACCAAGCAAUAUAUAACGAAGAAUUAUUUAUCCCUUCA